CCAUUGCUCAGAUACAAAGAGAGAGAUGAUCUCAUCAGGCAAAUACCAAGGAAUGCUGAAACAGGGAGAUUCUAAUCUUGCCGAAGAAGAAGCUGUCCCUGCUUGCUGUCCUAGUCAGCCAAUAUUUUCAAUUUCAAAGAUCAAUAUAUUGAGCGCAAGUCCACGUGAUGGGAACAAGGCCAGCAGAAGAUGGCUCAGAGUCAAAGAGCUGCUGAUCUGUGCCAUAUGCUCACAUGGAAGAGCGCCUUCAGUUAUG